ensembl:lincRNA
AGGAGACCCUGAGUCCUGAAGGGCUGGAUGGACACAGGGUCGACACAGUAAGAACAAGGGUUCUCUCUUGUAAGAACCGGGGACUCCCUGCGAGUCUACAGUUCCUCCAGUCAAUAAACAGGAUGGAGUGCCGACACCGGAGUCAGCGCAGGAGGACAGAUGGACAGAUGGAUGUCCAUGGGACAUUUCCUCAUGUUGCAGAGAUAUUUGGAUGGCUGUGUGAGCGAUGGCUGAGUGGCUUGAGCUUGGGCACAAAGCCACCCACAGGGAAGGCAGAGCCCCCAGGCUGAGGGCUGCAGCAGGGCGUCCCAAGUUGUUCUGCUACAUCCCACAAUGAGAGCCAUUUCUCUGCUACAUCAACACUUCUGCAGCCAAGUGCACGUUGUGAGGCUCGUCUUGCUGGCUUCCUAAUGGCCCCAUCAGUGGCUGGCCUGAAGAGAGAAGGGCUUACUCACAUUGGACGGAUUUCUGCCUUCAUUCCUGUCCAGCUGCUGGGUAUGCUGACCUUCUGUAUGUAACCAAGUACCUCAGCAGGGAUGGACCCACGGACAGCAUCUUAUCAUCUCCCAGGUUGGGAGGCUGGGCAAAGCCAAGAUGAGGGCACCAAUAGGCUGGUUGCUGGCAGUCUGUGGGAUUCCUUGACCUUUAAGAGUUGCUGGAUAAUCUCUGUCUUCAUCUUUAUUUUUUUUUAGAUUCUUGUGUAGUCCAGACUGGCCUUGAACUCCUUAUCUAGUCAGUGCAAGAUUUAUUUAAUUAAUAAACAUAAUUACAGUUGGGUGGUAUAACAGGGCUUUAACUGUCAUCUCUGAAGAGGAAAACUGGGGGCAUCUGCCUUUAAAAAUAUUAAAAUUUAAGACAGAGUGAUUGUUUGUCAGACACACAUAUGACCAAAUGAUCCCCUGAAUUUAGAAAUGGACACAAUAUGUUUGUUUGCUUGUUUGUUUGUAAUUUUUGAGUCAAAGUCUUAUUCUCAAGCUUCAGACAUUGAACUUGUAAUUUUCUGCCUCAGUCUCCAUAGAACUGGGGCUCCAGGCCUGUUAGAAAUAUUCUUUUCAGCUUAUUGGGAAAGUUAUAAUUCAUUUAGAAGAUGGUUGGUGUAAAACUAGGGUGGACCUAAAAAACAAGUAAAUGCUCAUACAAUAUAUUCAACUGAAACCUAAUGAAAAAUUUGUAUGACUUUGAAAUAGAGGCGAUUU